AUUGAACGCUGGCGGCAGGCUUAACACAUGCAAGUCGAGCGGUAACAGAGAGAAGCUUGCUUCUCUGCUGACGAGCGGCGGACGGGUGAGUAAUGCCUAGGAAUCUGUCUAGUAGUGGGGGAUAACUUGCCGAAAGGUAAGCUAAUACCGCAUACGUCCUACGGGAGAAAGGAGGGGACCUUCGGGCCUUUCGCUAUUAGAUGAGCCUAGGUCGGAUUAGUUAGUUGGUGAGGUAAUGGCUCACCAAGACCGCGAUCCGUAACUGGUCUGAGAGGAUGAUCAGUCACACUGGAACUGAGACACGGUCCAGACUCCUACGGGAGGCAGCAGUGGGGAAUAUUGGACAAUGGGGGGAACCCUGAUCCAGCCAUGCCGCGUGUGUGAAGAAGGUCUUAGGAUUGUAAAGCACUUUAGGUUGGGAGGAAGAGCAGUUAACUAAUAUUUGACUGUUUUGACGUUACCGACAGAAUAAGCACCGGCUAACUUCGUGCCAGCAGCCGCCGUAA
rnacentral:rRNA from 1 species